rnacentral:rRNA from 1 species
UACGUAGGUGGCAAGCGUUGUCCGGAAUUACUGGGUGUAAAGGGAGCGCAGGCGGGGAAGCAAGUCGGCUGUGAAAUGCAUAGGCUUAACCUAUGAAUUGCAGUUGAAACUGUUUUCCUUGAGUGGAGUAGAGGUAGGCGGAAUUCCGAGUGUAGCGGUGAAAUGCGUAGAUAUUCGGAGGAACACCAGUGGCGAAGGCGGCCUACUGGGCUCUAACUGACGCUGAGGCUCGAAAGUGUGGGGAGCAAACAGGAUUAGAUACCCUGGUA